rnacentral:tRNA from 1 species
GUCCGGGUGGCGGAAUAGGCAGACGCGCUAGCUUGAGGUGCUAGUGCCCUUAACGGGGCGUGGGGGUUCAAAUCCCCCCUCGGACACCA